GCUAAUAUGGAUUGUCAAACGAGGCUUGGAGAGCAGAAGGUGAAGGCUGGAUAGCACAUGAAACAAAUGGAUAUGUCAACAAGGCACGCAAUCGGGACAAACUGCGACAAUUUAACCAUCCCGGUACAUUUAUCGCCAGCGAGUCAACACAAUGAUGUACUAGUAUCCGGUGAUGGAUGUCUGGAGGAGCUUUCUGCUGACAGUAACACAAUGGUUACAAUGUGCGUCCUGUCAAAGGACGAGGAAGUGAAAAGCCAUAAUCAUUUAAUUAACAAAUGUGCUUCCUGUCACAUUUCACUUAAAUAGGACGAGGAAGUGAAAAGCCUUAUUCACUCACAAAUCAACAUGGCCAAUAUUUAUCGGACACUGAAAAAAGCACAUUGUACCAUUUGUUUUCUCCUGGA